rnacentral:rRNA from 1 species
UACAGAGGGUGCAAGCGUUGUUCGGAAUUAUUGGGCGUAAAGGGCGCGUAGGCGGUGCGGUAAGUCUGUAGUGAAAUCUCUGGGCUCAACUCAGAGUCUGCUGCAGAAACUGCCGUGCUUGAGUGUGGGAGAGGUGAGUGGAACUGCGAGUGUAGAGGUGAAAUUCGUAGAUAUUCGCAAGGAACACCAGUGGCGAAGGCGGCU